rnacentral:rRNA from 2 species
CGUAUCACCCAAGACAACUUUACGGAGUUGACGAUUGACGGAGCGAAGCGACGUCAAAGCGUUCAUUAAAGUCGAGUUGGCUUAGGGAUACGUUCGUUGGGUAGGGGAGCGUUCUGUAAGCCUGUGAAGGUGUGUCGUGAGGCAUGCUGGAGGUAUCAGAAGUGCGAAUGCUGACAUAAGUAACGAUAAAGCGGGUGAAAAGCCCGCUCGCCGGAAGACCAAGGGUUCCUGUCCAACGUUAAUCGGGGCAGGGUGAGUCGACCCCUAAGGCGAGGCCGAAAGGCGUAGUCGAUGGGAAACGGGUUAAUAUUCCCGUACUUGGUGUUACUGCGAAGGGGGGACGGAGAAGGCUAUGUUGGCCGGGCGACGGUUGUCCCGGUUUAAGCGUGUAGGUGUGUGUUCCAGGUAAAUCCGGUUCACUUUAACACUGAGGCGUGACGACGAGGCACUACGGUGCUGAAGCA